GAUGGAAGAACGUAGCGAAAUGCGAUACGUAAUGUGAAUUGCAGAAUUCAGUGAAUCAUCGAGUCUUUGAACGCACAUUGCGCCCCCUGGUAUUCCGGGGGGCAUGCCUGUCCGAGCGUCAUUGCUGCCCUCAAGCACGGCUUGUGUGUUGGGCCUCCGCCCCCCGGCUCCCGGGGGGCGGGCCCGAAAGGCAGCGGCGGCACCGCGUCCGGUCCUCGAGCGUAUGGGGCUUCGUCACCCGCUCCGUAGGCCCGGCCGGCGCCCGCCGGCGACCCCCCUCAAUCUUUCCAGGUUGACCUCGGAUCAGGUAGGGAUACCCGCUGAACUUAAGCAUAUCAAUAAGCGGAGGA
rnacentral:misc_RNA from 1 species